CAAUUUAAAAUACAUAUUUACUUUAAUUUGUAAACAUGGCAAAUUUUCAUCUUGUUAUUUCUUUCAAAUUUUUCAAUAUAUCUGCACACGCAGUGGUGCAGUUUAUCUUGCUAUAUAUAGGGUUGUGCUAAACAAACUAUUGAAUAUUUUUUUCUUGUAUGCCCUAAUGAUGUCUGGAGUAUCGUCAAUUUUUAGGAUUUUUAGGCAUUUUGACCAGGGUUUGUCAAUUUUGUAAUGCGCAAAAACGCACCCCUCAAAAUACCAUUCUGGAAAAUUUCACCAAUUUUGAGUUUUCCACAUAUUUUACUGAAUUUCAUCACGAAAAGGUCACAUUUUGCGCCAAAAACAUCCCGGUUCCCCACUCUCGGCUCGGCGUGGCGUGGAAUGAAACACUCAACGUCACACCUCUAGCUCCAAGAUAACAGGCGGCAGUGUUCGUGCUGUGAGCCGCCGCUGCUGUUUGUCCGUUUCAGCUCCCUGUGUAUACAGCGCUUGCUUUUUUAAUGGAAAAAUUCGAAAAAUUCAACAAAGGAACUGCACCACGACUUUUGCCGGUCUAACACGAUAAGCAGCGGAACACAGAGUGCACGAAAACUGCAAAGGUUGGCUCAAUAAACAUUUAGCGAGGUGUGUAGUUGCUCCGUCAAAAACAGCAAAAUCGAAGCUGGCUCUUUUACAUUCAGCGUCAACUGCAACAACAGUGAGUCAAGUUGGUGCCCCAGGAAAAUGACCCUGAACUACCAGCAAGGCUCGUUCGAGAAUAGAGAGGGGAACUGGGACGGGUUUUUGGUCCUCGUACCUGUCCCGUCAUGGAAAAAAAUAUUCCGUCUCUGUCCCUGUCCCAUUUUUGUUUUUCGGGGUCGUCCCUGUCCCUGUUAGCUCUUAACCUUGUCCCUGUUUAGUCCCCACCCCUCGAACCCAUACCAGAUCCUUAACUUUUCUUUUAAAAGUGGCAAUUUUUGUCAGUAAAUAACAAUUGUAUGUAAAACGUAACCUCGCAGGAGUGCUCAAUUUUAAAAAUCGGUCGGCGGAGACUGUGACAUAUUACUAAUUUAUUGCUUCCGCAAGGUUCGCAAAAACCCGCAUUUUUCCGGAAAAAGCCAUUGCAUUGCAAAAAAAUGUUUUUUGCGCUCUUUUCCAAUAAACCACGUGCAUUUUUUAUUGUUCAAUAAAACAAUGCAUGAGUCUAUCUUUUUAUCUUCUAAGUUAAAAAAAUUCUCACGAUGGAUGACCAAAACUAGAGAUUAUACAAAAUCAGUAUAAAAGCCACUGGUUCAGGAUUCGCCAACUUUGUGAUACGCAAAAAUGCACCUGUUUUUUUUUCAUUUUUCUUAAUUUAACCCCGAAAAGGUCACAUUUCGCGCUAAAAAUGGUCGGAAAUUUUGGAAAAUUGCGGUUUGUGUUACAAUUGUCUGUCUUUUGGGGAAACCAGUGGCAUUCUUACUGAUAUUAAAAAAUCCCAUUUUUAUCAUCCGUCGUGUGAAUUUAUGAUUUUCAUUAAAAAUGCACGUGUUUUGGGGAAAAGCGCUAAAUUGCAGAAAACCGGUAAAAAAACAGUUUUCGGCAAUACAGUGGAUUUUCCGAAAAAAUGCGCAAAUUUAAAAUCUUGAUUUUAAACCUAAUUAGUGGGUGUUACAGUUUGACUAUAUUUAUUCACCGAUAUCAAGUAGUGUUUUUCUCCUCGCGUCUCUGGUGUGUGGUUUGGCUGCUUUCCUUGCACACUCGCAGUCUCACUCAGCUGCUCCU